GCAAACUUGGUCAUUUAGAGGAAGUAAAAGUCGUAACAAGGUUUCCGUAGGUGAACCUGCGGAAGGAUCAUUAUUGAAUUAUGUUUCUAGAUAGGUUGUAGCUGGCUCUCUAGAGCAUGUGCACGCCUGUUUGGAUUUCAUUUUCAUCCACCUGUGCACCUAUUGUAGUCUUUGGUUGGGUUAGGAGGAAGUGAUCAUCUUAUCAGCAUUUGCUGGAUAUGGGGACUUGCAUUGUGAAAGCUUUGCUGUCCUUGAUGUGAUCAUGAAAUCUUUCACUCACCAGAGUCUAUGUAACUCAUUAUACCCUGUCGAAUGUCAUUGAAUGUCUUUACAUGGGCUUGCCCAUGAAAAUUGUAAUACAACUUUCAGCAACGGAUCUCUUGGCUCUCGCAUCGAUGAAGAACGCAGC
rnacentral:misc_RNA from 1 species